CAUUAUUCCUUUCCAGACUGAUGCUUCGUGUGCUGUUUUGGUUCCGCGCUUCCUUACUGGCUCGUACAUGCACAUGCAUCCUUCGCCGUUGCCAUUUCUAAAGCAAAGCAGUGUACAGUUCUAACUUGUAACUGUCAGUAGAAACGCUAUGGAAGCGCUAAAAACUACGACACGGCUGGCGGGGUGAGGACCCUGUCGAAGUGGAGGCACGUAAGUAAAGGUUCCUCUCACUAAAUGUUUCAUUCAUGAAGGCGGUGGUGUGGCUCAGAUGGCAGAGCAGUCGUGCAGAAAGCUUGAAUCUGGCCUCUGCCGUCCCAGUCGCGGCCCUUGGGCAAAGCGCUGCUCCCAGUGGCGCAUGAAUCCUUGGCAAGAUCAAGUAAAAUGCAUUCAUUCACUUUUGCCUACUUUUACGUUCAUUCACCAAGUCAUUGUAAUGUGUUCAUGAUUUCCUUUUUUUACUGCUAAUACCGUAGCAUGGAGAUGUGUUAGUACGCUAGAAAAAGUAGUUCCUCAGUGUUCACUCUUACAAUAACAAUGUUGCCACAGCUUGGUUAUUAUACAUGUUACACAAUGUAAAUGAAGUGUUGUUGACAGUUUUUGAAUGCAUUUUUAAAGUGAUUUAGAGGUAGAAUUGAUAGCUACCAACAAUGAAACAAAUUCACUUCUUAGGAUGCAAAAAAACCAACAAUUUUGGACUUGUUUUGUUUUUGUUUUUUUUCCCCUUCUUGGGAUGUCUGGAAUCCGUCUUCAUAAUGAUAGUGAACGAUAGGCAAAAUUUCCCCCCCAAAAAGUGCAGUUCUCCUCUAUCAGCUGUGGCUGUAGGCAACCUCCUGAUGUACUUUUAUCUGAUAAAAGUACAUCAGGAGGUUGCCUACAGAAGCCCUCAAAAUGGCAGUAGAUGUAUUUGAAGUCGGCAUUCAGCAGCUUCUUGAGACAUGAAGAAGGAAAAGUAGCUUCCAUAUAAGGAGGUGUGAACAAGUGAUGACAUAAAUCAAUAACAUUGCAUGUAAUAGACAAUGUCUCAUUUGCACCCCUGCUGGUCAAAAUGAGGGUGGUCCCAAAAAGGAGGGAUUUUUCAAAUGGACUGUGUGUCGCUUUUAAAAGUGCUCCCCCUCUCUGGUCAACAUAUGAAAUAACAAGUGUGUGUAAAAAAUUGAAGUGCGUCCCCUAUGGCCAAAAUUAAUAAAAUAAAUAAAUAAAUGAAUAUGUAUAUAGAGACAUACUGUAAUAACUUGAA